GAUGUCAUGUCGCGCCCCCGCCUCCAACCAACCGCUGCGGUCCCGCUACCAACAGCCGCGGCCCCGCCUCCAACCAGCCGUCGCGGCCCCGCCUCCAACCAACAGCCGCGGCCCCGCCUCCGACCCCGUGAGGCAGCCCUGUCCGGCCAUCCCCUCCGUGGUACCGCCGCAUCUGCCUCCGCUUAGGGCGAUACCUGGGGUUGCUGCCUCCGCGCCCUUGAUGCGCGCCCUGCAUCAACCCUAGCUCUGCAUCGGCUCGGGACGCCGGCGCGGCUGCUCCUCUGACGCCGUCCACCUACCACGCCGCCACUCGCCUCUACCGCACCGCCACGGCUCCUCCACUGGUUUCGCAGGCACGCGUUGUGCCGCCCCCGAUGUGCGCCUCAUGCUGACCCUGCUCCGCCUCUUCGCGUGCCUGCACGACCACGAGUGUGGGGAUCACAAUUGCGCCGCCGAUUGGUCGUCUACAACCAUCUUGACAUCUCCAAGGUUUCCUCCCAAUCCCUAUGUGAGCAGCGCCUCGAGACUUCCAGGGUAUGUCCUUAUGUGAUUUUGGCACGAGUCGAGUUCCACUUAGAGACGUCGACAACAAGACUUAGAUUGCAAUCUAGUAGUUCAGUAAAAGUUGGUAGUGCCUGGCUGAACUGAAGAUGUGACUAGAUAGUGGCUAGAAAUUUCUAGGUGGCACCCACAAUACAUGCUUACACUGUGAUGCUUACUCUCAUCAAGUUUCCAAGUGCAGAUUGGCUUGAACAAUGCUAGGUGUUGUUCAUUCGGUGUAUCUGUUGCUAUGAUAACCUGACGGCUGGGUUGUGCCGGACUGACUAGAAUCUUCUAGGUGGCAUUCACGGUACAUGCUACACCGUGAUGCUUAAGCCUUGUCAGGUAGUGAUCUAGUGACACAUAACGAAUUCACAAAUGGGUGGGCUUAUAAAAGAUAUCAAUUAUUUCUGAUGAUAUAGCCCCAACAAUUGUGUGUUGUCAUAUGGGUGGACUACAAAUGGGUGGACUUAUAAAAAAGACAUCCUAGUGGCUGAGAACUUAACUCUGAACUCUGAAGGCCCUGAUUUUGUGCUUCUCUGAUGUGAUGAAACGGUAUGCAUAUGCGGUCCUUGUAUAUAAAUAUCUGGCUUUGAAUUAUCAUGGUUUCUAGCUACUGAUUCAAAAUACAAAUGUUGAGAGUGUGGGGGCAUAGAUUUGCAGCGACUGUUGUCGAAGUUCAAAAUCUAUACAUUUCUUAUGCUUUUGCUUUGGACACUUGCCAUUAUGGAUAGUUUGGGUAAAUAACCUUUUCAUUUUCCAUAUUAGUCAGCUGGAUUGUAUCACUGGACAAUUCGUACACUUCCAGUGAUUAGCUGCAACUAGCACUGUUUUUCUCGUUACACUUGCAAAUGUAAUGUGAAUAUUAAGUGAGUCUUGAUUUUUGAAAUUUGAUCCACCCAUGUUAAGGUGGAAGCUUCUAUUUCUUUAUUGCCGCGUUUCAUCAUCUUGGCUUGCUUAUGGCGACAUUAACACUUUUCGUAGAUCUGUGUGCAUACUUUGCUAUUCUAAUUCCUGCGGGCUAUGUAUGGCAGGUUGGCAUUUACUAGUUCCGAGUGCAUCGAUUGUAAGAUCUAGCAACUUACUGUGGUUUAUUUGGUCCAUCUGCAACAAUCUCGCUUUCUUUUAUGUUAUUGUAUUUAAGAUUCUGUGCUCUAAUCAUAGAGAUACUAGUGUUCAAUGUGGUAUUUCCCAGGUUAUUUUUCUGGUUGUUUAUUUCACCAAUGUAUUAAUAUGUAGCUUUGUACGGAGAGCUGAAUAAUUCAAGUUUGAGAUUCACUUAUUUGACAAUAAAUAUUAAUUUUGAAUAUAUGCUAAUACUUUUUUGGGGAGUUUCUAGGUUUGCCACGUAAUAAUAAUUCUCCAAGAGGCUUCCGGUUCAACACACAUACCUUGAAGAACUUUAGACUGUUGCAAUCCUCAAAGCAUGCCCUCGCGCCAUUUGCGAGGUCACUAGUAGCACCAACAACACCACCCAAAGCUGCUCCUGCUGGCACUACAACCUAGCCUACCAACAGGGCUUCAACCAGAUCCCCUCCAGCAUGUCGUUAAGAUAUUCUAUGUUCUUUUACCGCAGACUGCCAUCAUAGAUACUAAAAGAACUUUGAUGGACCACAUUUUGUGCAAAAUUUUAGUUUUGAUUAAUCUGGUUCUGUUGGUAGAUACCGCAGUCCAAGACUCAUUCCAUUUUACAAUCCUCUGUUAUAUCAUAGUUCACUGUAAGUUCUGCUACAGUCCAAGAACUAGUUCUUUUUCCAAAUUGGAAAAUGUGCCCUUUAAAAAUGGCAUCCAAUUCAAACAUGGCCUUGCCCUUUUCAAGAAUAAAAACAUGUAUUCAAAUUACUGUUUUGUCAUGUUGGUUCAAUCACACCUGUUUGCUGUUUUUCUUUUGAGCAUGCAUACCAAUCAAGGGCACUCCUCCUUACGAUUUUGGGUGGUGUUCACAAGAUAACAAAUGAAGGGAUAAAGCUUAGUGGCGACCCAAGUUGUGCAAAGUCUCAAUUCUCGAAGAGCCCAUGCUGCUGGUUAUGAAAAGCAAGUCGUUGGGCCUACAUAGCCAUCCUGUUAAUGAAUGCUCUAUUGCUCCAUUUCAAAAAGAAACUGAUAACCAAGAUGCUCAGGAUUAGCAAUUGGCAAAUCGAGCAGAUGGACAUGUCGUCACUUUGGGUGAUGAAGCUCUAUAAAGCAGAAUAUGAAGCUCUAUAAACCAGGGGCGUCUUCCUCAUCCUACGCAACUAGCUUUUCAUUAUCAGAAUGAUUGAAGAUUUGGGAUGGUCAUGCUAGGGAAUCAAAGUACUCCUAAACAGAAUAUUUGAACUGUGUGUCAUUACUAUUUGAAUCUUCUACAGCAAGUAAUCCCGGGAAUUUGUUUUAUUAUUCAUUUGCACUAUUGUAUGUCUUCGAUGCGGGCCACUGACUUUUGAAAUGAUAUAUGUGUACUGAGGUUGUGUGA